rnacentral:misc_RNA from 1 species
AUUGUUUUGCAAGCAUGGCCAUCUAAGCAUUGGUAUCCACCAACAAAAAAAUUAAAAAGUUAAUAGAAAAAUAUCACUUGGAUACGCAAUUUCGAAAUAUCCAUGACAUUUAAAGCAACAGUAACCAAUGCUGGGUUUUAUAUGCAGUCACAUCCACAAAUAUAAACGCUUUUUUCACAAAAAUGUUACCUCUAUUGUGAUUCUGUUUUUUAACUAAUAAA